UACGAAGGGUGCAAACGUUAUUCGGAAUCACUGGGCGUAAAGGGUGCGUAGACGGUAUGUUAAGUUCGUUGUUAAAGGCUCCGGCCUAACCGGAGUACCGCAAUGAAAACUGGCGUGCUAGAGGGUGAGAGAGAGAAGUGGAAUUCCCGGAGUAGCGGUAAAAUGCGUGGAUCUCGGGAGGAACACCAAUGGCGAAGGCAGCUUCUUGGCUCAUUCCUGACGCUGAGGCACGAAAGCGUGGGGAGCAAACAGG
rnacentral:rRNA from 1 species